CCUACGGGAGGCAGCAGUGGGGAAUAUUGCACAAUGGGGGAAACCCUGAUGCAGCGACGCCGCGUGAGUGAAGAAGUAUUUCGGUAUGUAAAGCUCUAUCAGCAGGGAAGAAAAUGACGGUACCUGAUUAAGAAGCCCCGGCUAACUACGUGCCAGCAGCCGCGGUAAUACGUAGGGGGCACGCGUUAAGCGGAUUUACUGGGCGGAAAGGGAGCGUAGACGGCAGCACAAGUCAGGAGUGAAAUGCCGGGGCUUAACCCGGGAACUGCAUUGGAAACUGUGCAGCUAGAGUGCAGGAGAGGUAAGUGGAAUUCCAAGUGUAGCGGUGAAAUGCGUAGAUAUUAGGAGGAACACCAGUGGCGAAGGCGGCUUACUGGACUGUAACUGACGUUGAGGCUCGAAAGCGUGGGGAGCAAACAGGAUUAGAUACCCCAGUAGUC
rnacentral:rRNA from 1 species